UGGCUGCCUGAUUAGUUCACCCCCUGUAUCUGAGGAAAGAGAUGGAAUUACUUAGCUGCCCUUAUAAAAGAGGGCAGCAACAAUGAGGGGGAGGGGAGGGACUGUGGAAGUGCCUGGGUGCUGUGUCCAGUGUACUGACAGUGGCACGACUACUGAAAGGAACUGCUUCAGAAAACCAGAUAGACAAGAGGGGAGACUACUGGGGAGCCAUGGAGGGCUGAGGCAAGAGCCAGCUUAUGAACAUCCUUUUUGAAGUAUGCACACCAGAACUGGACACACUAAUGCAGAGUACAGUGGUAAUACCAGCCUCCCAACUCCUACUCAAUGGUCUUCUGUUGAUAUUCCAGCAUUUCUUUAAGCUCCAAGGAACAAAACAUGCCAAUUGCACAUGAGGAAUGGAGAAGAUGCUCCUUAUGCAAGUGUGCUGACUAGAUGAUCACAACAAUCCCUUCUGGCUUGGAAACUGACUCUGAUACCCUAUCAGCCUCCAUCCUCUGUGACCCAAUCCAAUGAAAGGCAUGAUCCAGGAAACUUGUGGAGAAAAGGAAAUCCUUCCACUGUGCUUGAUUUUACCUUCUGAAGGCUCCAACUCUCCCAUUAUCAACAUCAAGAGAGAAGUCUGAAAAUAAUUAACAGUUAAUGUAUCAGAACAGAUCUACACAACUGUAACAGAUGCUCAGCAUAUGUGAGUCAUCUUAAUAAAUAGCUUGUACUCUA